rnacentral:lncRNA from 1 species
AUGGACUGUUGGGUCAACAGGGCACUUGGAGCAAAAGAAAACCUGCAGAAAAGAAGCUACUGGUUUCUGCAGGCCAGUUCUCUCCUCAGAGCUGCUCUGAUGCUGGGUGCUGGGGGGAGAGCUGUGGCCCUGGAGCACUGGGGAGGUCACCAUCUUCUCAGCCGUCUGCUCGCUGAGACAUCCUUGCCUCUGCCAGGAUCAGCUCUUACUGAAUCCCUUUUGUUUUGUCCCUUUGGAAGCAGCACGUGUGCCUGCAGUCGACUCCCCCGAACCCGCAGCCAAGGGGGGCAGAUUCUGAUCCGUCACCAACUGCAAUCCAGUGUCACUCCGCUGCUGCUUCCAGGGAGUGACACUGGAUUAACGGACAUCAGAACCUGGGUUAGUCUCUGGGUGCUAUUCUGGGCUGGGAUCAUGGCAUGA